CGUAGUGCAGUCAGCUUGCUGCAGGAGUAUAUGCUUUCUGGAACUGUGCCGGUGAAGUUAUUGGAAAGAAGAUCUAGUUUUUUUAGAUUGGACAAACUUACGAAGUUGACCUUGGUAAGUUCUCCACUAAAUUGGUUUGCCUUGAGGUCAAUUGUUACAAGAUUUGUGCAGUUGCUUAGAGCUGCUGGCAGCUCCCCUGACAUGUUGUUGUGUUCCAAAUGCAGCUCCUCCAAUCUCUUCAGAUCACCUAUAGACUCUGGAAUAUUGCCGCUGAGCUCAUUCCCCCCAAGAUCAAGGGUGACCAGAUUUGUGAGCUUGCUGAUGCCAUCAAGAG
rnacentral:lncRNA from 1 species